UACAGAGGGUGCGAGCGUUAAUCGGAAUUACUGGGCGUGAAGCGCACGUAGGCGGCUUGGUAUGUCGGGUGUGAAAUCCCCGGGCUCCACCUGGGAACUGCAUCCGAAACUGCCUUGCUCGAGUAUGGGAGAGGGAAGUGGAAUUUCCGGUGUAGCGGUGAAAUGCGUAGAUAUCGGAAGGAACAUCAGUGGCGAAGGCGACUUCCUGGACCAAUACUGACGCUCAGGUGCGAAAGCGUGGGGAGCAAACAGG
rnacentral:rRNA from 1 species